UCCACCGAUUGACUAAGGUUUCCAGAGGAAGGCUCGUCCGCUCUGGGUUAGUCGGGUCCUAAGCUGAGGCCGACAGGCGUAGGCGAUGGAUAACAGGUUGAUAUUCCUGUACCACCUAUAAUCGUUUUAAUCGAUGGGGGGACGCAGUAGGAUAGGCGAAGCGUGCGAUUGGAUUGCACGUCUAAGCAGUAAGGCUGAGUAUUAGGCAAAUCCGGUACUCGUUAAGGCUGAGCUGUGAUGGGGAGAAGACAUUGUGUCUUCGAGUCGUUGAUUUCACACUGCCGAGAAAAGCCUCUAGAUAGAAAAUAGGUGCCCGUACCGCAAACCGACACAGGUAGUCAAGAUGAGAAUUCUAAGGUGAGCGAGCGAACUCUCGUUAAGGAACUCGGCAAAAUGACCCCGUAACUUCGGGAGAAGGGGUGCUCUUUAGGGUUAACGCCCAGAAGAGCCGCAGUGAAUAGGCCCAAGCGACUGUUUAUCAAAAACACAGGUCUCUGCUAAACCGUAAGGUGAUGUAUAGGGGCUGACGCCUGCCCGGUGCUGGAAGGUUAAGAGGAGUGGUUAGCUUCUGCGAAGCUACGAAUCGAAGCCCCAGUAAACGGCGGCCGUAACUAUAACGGUCCUAAGGUAGCGAAAUUCCUUGUCGGGUAAGUUCCGACCCGCACGAAAGGCGUAACGAUUUGGGCACUGUCUCAACGAGAGACUCGGUGAAAUCAUAGUACCUGUGAAGAUGCAGGUUACCCGCGACAGGACGGAAAGACCCCGUGGAGCUUUACUGUAGCCUGAUAUUGAAAUUCGGCACAGCUUGUACAGGAUAGGUAGGAGCCUUUGAAACGUGAGCGCUAGCUUACGUGGAGGCGCUGGUGGGAUACUACCCUAGCUGUGUUGGCUUUCUAACCCGCACCACUUAUCGUGGUGGGAGACAGUGUCAGGCGGGCAGUUUGACUGGGGCGGUCGCCUCCUAAAAGGUAACGGAGGCGCUCAAAGGUUUCCUCAGAAUGGUUGGAAAUCAUUCAUAGAGUGUAAAGGCAUAAGGGAGCUUGACUGCGAGACCUACAAGUCGAGCAGGGUCGAAAGACGGACUUAGUGAUCCGGUGGUUCCGCAUGGAAGGGCCAUCGCUCAACGGAUAAAAGCUACCCCGGGGAUAACAGGCUUAUCUCCCCCAAGAGUUCACAUCGACGGGGAGGUUUGGCACCUCGAUGUCGGCUCAUCGCAUCCUGGGGCUGUAGUCGGUCCCAAGGGUUGGGCUGUUCGCCCAUUAAAGCGGUACGCGAGCUGGGUUCAGAACGUCGUGAGACAGUUCGGUCCCUAUCCGUCGUGGGCGUAGGAAAUUUGAGAGGAGCUGUCCUUAGUACGAGAGGACCGGGAUGGACAUACCUCUGGUGUACCAGUUGUCGUGCCAACGGCAUAGCUGGGUAGCUAUGUGUGGACGGGAUAAGUGCUGAAAGCAUCUAAGCAUGAAGCCCCCCUCAAGAUGAGAUUUCCCAACUUCGGUUAUAAGAUCCCUCAAAGAUGAUGAGGUUAAUAGGUUCGAGGUGGAAGCAUGGUGACAUGUGGAGCUGACGAAUACUAAUCGAUCGAAGACUUAAUCAA
rnacentral:rRNA from 1 species